rnacentral:tRNA from 1 species
GUCAGGAUGGCCGAGUGGUCUAAGGCGCCAGACUCAAGUUCUGGUCUUCGUAUGAAGGCGUGGGUUCAAAUCCCACUUCUGACA